UUACAACACGCACGGAGAUGAGAAGGGUAUGUAUGGACUUGUCUAACUCUGGGGGAUACGGGGAAUAAGACAAAGUCCCAAUAAGUUGGUGUGUUCCUUUUAAGAAAGUGGGAGGGAGCGUAAUGCUCGUUUCACGACAGAAGCAAUGUAUUUCACAAAAUAUGGCAGCCUUUUAUGUCAUAUAUUGGUUAAGAUAUCUGCUAUAAGAGAGUUUAUGAAAUCGAUCUGCAUGAAACUUGCCCUAUAGAUAUUUUGUUGCUGUCAACUUCCUCCCCGACCCAUAUGAAGAAGCUAAACCAACCACUGAGGUUUUUGAUAUCCUUGUGUGGGGCGAUAACUGGGGCCAUCUGAAUUGGAUAUAGCAACCUAGGGAGGAUGUUUCUAGUCAUUGUUUUAAUCUGCCUAAUGGUAUCACUUCUGAUUUGCUGAAAUUGAUUCUGUAGCUUGAAAAAGCACUAAACGUAUUACAGUUUAUCAUAACUGCUUACACACGUUUUCAAUACUAUGUCUCCUUUUUUCAACUCUACACACAAUUCCCAAAACUGCCUACGGGCCUACAGCAUUGAUGUUGUUGAAUAUGGUUUAAUUAUUCAAGAUACAAUCUUUUAUUCCUCAAAUCCUAAUUGCAUUGUUGGCCAAAACCAUAUUUAUAAUUGCAGUCUCACGUACUGUACAUCUGUAAACAGUCACCCUUGUCCUCCAUAUCUUUGCCUUUCCACUCUAUAGAGAAUUCAAAAACAGUGUGUGCAGUAGUUACUGUAAAAAUGUACAAAAUAUUGUAGUACAGCAUGAUUACCAACGUCAUUCUUACAAUGCAUUGAAUAAUUAAGUACAUUAAUUACUUUUGAUACUUAAACAAUAAAUCAAAAGUGAGUCGGGACAAAUUCACUUUCUAUUUUUAUAUUUAUUGCUUUUAAUUAAAGGGGAAAAACAGAUGAACAAUUUGCAUAAAAUCCAAAUUUUCGCUCUAGAAAUAUAUUUGACCUUUCCAGUACAUAGAUAUCAAAGAGUACAGUAAACUUUACAACUGAGGGUGCCCUUGCAAAUGUACACUACAGCAUUUUUCAUUCAUGCAUUUUCAAGGCCAACACAACUACACUUGGGCUGUUGGUGCAUCCUCAGUAUAUACACUGGACACAUCUGCUCACUGCUUGUGAUCACUGGAUCCAGAACUCUGCAGAUCUUCUGAUCCACUUCAAGUCUUAUAUGAAAGGAAGAACAUUCUGGGAAACAGUUUGGGACAUUAAUAAUGGGUCGUUUGAAACUGGAGACAGUCUGAUCUAACAGCAGUGUGUUUGAGGGUGUGCGUCAAUAUCUCAAAUUCUCCUGACCGUCACUUUAUCCAUUCGGGAAAAUAAGUGUGUAUGCAUAGACUUUAAUUUAACUAAUGCACUGACAGUAGGUUGAGCAGUGACUUAAGAGCAAGGACACGCACACACACCCACACCCAUAAUACCCUCUGACCAGGAACAGCACAGCUGGACACAACAAUGCUGAGGAAAUCAUGAAAUACCACAUUAACUUGGAGAAACUAGAAUAAACAAGUGAGUGCGUCACUGAGAAGUGGCAUCCUUGCCAGGAAAUCAAUGGUGUAAAACAAAAAUCCAAGAGACUGGACAGAAAACACCUACAGAUGCUCGUACACUUCACUAUCAACAGGCCAUGAGAUGUUCAAUGUUAUCUUAGCUCAAUGAUUUUGUAACAUGAGAACUAUUAACUCCUUAUUCCCACUUUCUCAUAUGGAACCUUAAAGUGUUGAAUAUUAAAUACAUGAAAAACCUAAAAUAAAUAAAUGUGAAUAAA